AUUGAACGCUGGCGGCGUGCCUAAUACAUGCAAGUCGAGCGAAUGGAUUGAGAGCUUGCUCUUAUGAAGUUAGCGGCGGACGGGUGAGUAACACGUGGGUAACCUGCCCAUAAGACUGGGAUAACUCCGGGAAACCGGGGCUAAUACCGGAUAACAUUUUGAACCGCAUGGUUCGAAAUUGAAAGGCGGCUUCGGCUGUCACUUAUGGAUGGACCCGCGUCGCAUCAGCUAGUUGGUGAGGUAACGGCUCACCAAGGCAACGAUGCGUAGCCGAGCUGAGAGGGUGAUCGGCCACACUGGGACUGAGACACGGCCCAGACUCCUACGGGAGGCAGCAGUAGGGAAUCUUCCGCAAUGGACGAAAGUCUGACGGAGCAACGCCGCGUGAGUGAUGAAGGCUUUCGGGUCGUAAAACUCUGUUGUUAGGGAAGAACAAGUGCUAGUUGAAUAAGCUGGCACCUUGACGGUACCUAACCAGAAAGCCACGGCUAACUACGUGCCAGCCGCCGCGGUAA
rnacentral:rRNA from 1 species